rnacentral:tRNA from 1 species
GGGUAGAGCUCAGUGGUAGAGUACAUGCUUAGCACGCAUGAAGUUGUGGGUUCAAUCCUCAGUACCUCCA